GGCCCCAGGUGUGCUGACGGGCCUCGGUGUGCGUCCCCUUUAAGCCACCCCGACAUGGCCGGUCUGCUGACCUGGGUGUUUGUUCUCCUGACGCCACCGCAGUACUUGAGAAUUCCAUUUCUUCACACCCUCUCCAACUCUUGGUGCUGGGGAUUUUGAUUUUUGCCCCUCUGGUGGGUGUGAAAUAAGAUCUGGUUGUUUUAAUUUGCCUGUCCAGGGGUGAGGCCGAGCCCCACGCUGCCCCCUGGGAAGUGUCGUAUUCCCUUUCCCAGCUGGUUGCCCUAAAGAAGACAGAAACGUCUAAGUGCUAUUUUUUUUGGCUUAUGAUGUCAGUUUUUCAAAAGGGAAGUGCGUGUGCAGGAAGCUUCCGGGGAGAAGGCCUCCUGGGACCGGGUGCUGUUGGAGUUGGCAGGCCCCAGGAUUACCUAUGCUAUGUGGGAGGCACCUGGUAGUGUCUGUCACGCGGCGGGCCCUGCACUGAGGAGCCCUGCCCUCUGGAGACCUGCUCGUUGCCACGGCCGAGAAGCCGAGAAGUUGCCUCAGCCCCCGCGCUCCUGUGCGUCUCGGAGCUGACUGCCAGCGGAGCUGGGUGACUCAUGUGGGGGCAUUUUGUGUGGCAUUGUGCAGCUCAGCCUGGCGCAGCACACCACACCCACAGCAGGUAGUCAAGAGCCACUAGUGUUUAUGAAGGGGAUAAAAUUGCCCGAAUGGAGGGAAGCCAUCAAAAUAAGAGCCUUCGCCUGUCUCAUGGAAGUUAACUUGCAAACCUAAUGACUGCUGGGCUGUCGAGAAAGUGUCAUCUGGAUGUCUCACUGGAGACAGAACUCUCCAGAAGGGCAGUCGGGAAGCCCCUGAUCGCCUCGUGGGGGCGGGGGAACACAUUUUACAUGACAGUGAGUUGGAGAAAUUAGCAGUGGUCUCUGAGGAGCCCCCGUUCCCCGUUCAGCUUAACCCUUUGAGUCGCAACAGCUUUAAAAUAAAUCCAGGAAAUAGCUGUAUAUAUUCUUUUUGCUCCUCAUGUUUUCUCUGCAAAUAAAAGCGAUCUUGAAUGUCUGA